AUUUGCCCCGUAAUAUAGCAAAGAUCACGAAAAGGCCCGAAAAAGUACAUUAAGGUCAAAUUUUGGAGUAGAAAAAAAAAACAAUAGAAGAAUUCCAUUUUCCUUCCUCAUUCAUCGGAGAGCUCUCUUUGGGCUUUCCGAAAAGGUAUCACACGCCAAGUGUUUGGCAUCACGGUCUAAAAGUUUUAGAGUCAUACAUUUUUGACAAAAGAAAUAGAGAAAAACCGAAAAAAGUAGGGAAGCAACACGAGGACUUUCCUGAAGGUCACCCAUCCUAGUACUACUCUCGCCUAAGCACGCUUAACUGCGGAGUUCAAAUGGGAUCUGGUGCAUUAGUGCUGGUAUGAUCGCAUUCGUUACUACAUGCAAUGCAAUCGUAUAUAUUCUUUUUUGAAGACUUUAUGAUCCAUUUGCCGUGGGUCCCACCAUCUAUGUAGGAAUACCCUUUCUUGUUUAGAAGAGCUUUGAUACAUGCUAAAUAUUCAAAAAAAAUGUCCGACCAUAUAAUUUUCGCCCUGUAAUAAAAGCAAAGAUCACGAAAAGGCCUGAAAAGUACAUUAAGGUCAAAAUUCGGAGUAGAAAAAAAAACAAUAGAAGAAUUCCAUUUUCCUUCCUCAUUCAUCGGAGAGCUCUCUUUGGGCUUUCCGAAAAGGUAUCACAUGCCAAGUGUUUGGCCUCACGGUCUAAAAGUUCUAGAGUCAUACAUUUUUGACAAAAAUAAAAAGAGAAAAACCAAAAGAAAGAGGGAUGCAACACGAGGACUUUCCUAGAGGUCACUAUCUAGUACUACUCUCGCCCAAGCACGCUUAACUGCGGAGUGUGAUGGGAUCCGGUGCAUUAGUGCUGGUAUGAUCGCAUCUGUUACUACAUGCAAUGUAAUCGUAUCUAUUCUUUUUUGAAGACUUUAUGAUCCAUUUGCCUUGGGUCCCACCAUCUAUGUAGGAAUACCCUUUUUUGUUUAGAAGAGCUUUGAUAUAUGCUAAAUAUUCGAAAACAAUGUCCGAACAUAUAAUUUUCGCCCCGAAAUAUAACAAAGAUCACGAAAAGGCCCGAAAAAGUACAUUAAGGUCAAAAUUUGGAGUAGAAAAAAAACCC
rnacentral:sRNA from 1 species